rnacentral:rRNA from 1 species
GAGUUUGAUCCUGGCUCAGGACGAACGCUGGCGGCGUGCCUAACACAUGCAAGUCGAGCGAUGACGCGCCUCUUCGGAGGCGAAAAUUAGCGGCGGACGGGUGAGUAACACGUGGGUAACCUGCCUCAAAGAGGGGAAUAGCCUCCCGAAAGGGAGAUUAAUACCGCAUAAUAUGUUUUAGUCGCAUGACUUUAACAUCAAAGGAAUCUUGAUUCCACUUUGAGAUGGACCCGCGGCGCAUUAGCUAGUUGGAGAGGUAACGGCUCACCAAGGCAACGAUGCGUAGCCGACCUGAGAGGGUGAUCGNCCACAUUGGAACUGAGACAC